rnacentral:misc_RNA from 1 species
AAAUAAUCCUUGUGCUUCUGUUUCGGAAGUGCCUCUCCAAAGCUUCAGAUUCCCUCGCUUCUCUUCGACUCUACGGGCUUUUGUAAGCGAUUUCAUGCCCGAUCAAAGCAUGAAAGUGUAAAUUAUGCUCUAUUUUGUUUUAGAUAGUUGUUAAUUAGGGUUUCCUGAGUUAUGUCAAAGGUGUUAUUUGAUAUGUUUCGCUGAUUCGUUGGGAUUAAUUUUCUGGUUGUGUGGGUGACCCUAUCCGAUUUAUGAUUAUGAGAUAAUGUUGGCUUUAUUGGAUCUCGUACAUGUUUAAAUGAUACAUUCAGGUGUGUUUUCUUAUAAAAGCAUCCUAAAGAUGGAUGAGACUAUGAAGCAAUUUCAGCAA